rnacentral:rRNA from 1 species
AGAGUUUGAUCAUGGCUCAGGACGAACGCUGGCGGCGUGCUUAACACAUGCAAGUCGAGGGCGCUGAGCAAUCAGCGACCGGCGAACGGGUGCGUAACACGUGAGCGACCUGCCGACGCGCGGGGGAUAGCCGGCCCAACGGCCGGGUAAUACCGCAUACGCUCUUUACGGGGCAUCUCGUGAAGAGGAAACCUCCGGGGCGCGUCGAGGGGCUCGCGGCCUAUCAGCUAGUUGGUGGGGUAACGGCCUACCAAGGCGAUGACGGGUAGCUGGUCUGAGAGGAUGGCCAGCCACAUUGGGACUGAGAAACGGCCCAGACUCCUACGGGAGGCAGCAGUGGGGAAUCUUGCGCAAUGGCCGAGAGGCUGACGCAGCGACGCCGCGUGUGGGAGGACGCCCUUCGGGGUGUAAACCACUGUUGCCCGGGACGAACGGCCCCUAUUGGGGGGCGUGACGGUACCGGGUGAGGAAGCACCGGCUAACUCCGUGCCAGCAGCCGCGGUAAUACGGAGGGUGCGAGCGUUGUCCGGAAUCACUGGGCGUAAAGGGCGCGUAGGCGGCUCGGUAAGCGGGCGGUGAAAGCCCGGGGCUCAACCCCGGGUCGGCCGUGCGGACUGCCGUGGCUUGAGCACUGUAGAGGCAGGUAGAAUUCCGGGUGUAGCGGUGGAAUGCGUAGAGAUCCGGAAGAAUACCGGUGGCGAAGGCGNNNNGCUGGGCAGGAGCUGACGCUGAGGCGCGACAGCGCGGGGAGCAAACAGGAUUAGAUACCCUAGUAGUCC